rnacentral:tRNA from 1 species
GGGGAUGUAGCUCAGUGGUAGAGUACUUUGCCUAGCAUUUAUAAGACCCUGGGUUCAAUCCCCAGUACUUUUA